ensembl:lncRNA
AUAACUGCGGUAUUGUAGAGUAUUAAUAAUGGCCACAGUAUUAAAACGAACAAUAGCAACAAUGACAAAGCUUUUUUGUUUCCUCCUUGUAGGAGUUGGAGCUUCAGACCCGUGUCCACAAUCUCUCCUCCUCCCCUAUGCCCACCUCCUCCUCCAGCUCCAUGCCUCACCCCUUUUCCUCUCCUCCCCUCGUGACUCCCGCUCUGGGGCUGGACGCCCUGACCUUCGUGGACCUGGAUGAGCCUCACGGGGCGUUGGCCGUCUUCUCCUCGGACCUGAUGUGUGAGGCGGAGCUGGCAGAGCUGACGGAGCUUCAGGGUCUGGGAGACAUCCUGAUGGAGGAGGGCAGGAGGGCGGACCCCCUGCUGUCCGGUGGACCCUCAAAGACCAGCAGGAGGAGGAGCAGCUCCAGCAUGGACGAGGACCUCUGAUGGCGGACAGCAAGAGAGCUGACAGAUGAUUGGCUGAAGACCCUCGUAUUUGUAGAAACUUUCAUUUUUUACGCACGGCCACUUCCUGUCUGCAAUGAGCUGCUGAUGAAGACAAAGUUCACAUCACGGCCCCACGAUGUUGUCACAGUAGCUGUUUUAAGCGGUCGAUCAGUUUGACGUUUGGAGAUCAAAAAUCACAAAGAUAAUUCCAAUCAGGUUGAUUAUUGAUCCGUCUGAUCUUUUAUGUCUUUGCUCUUCAGAGGAAACAGAUUUUACAUUCUCAUAUUAUUCCAAUAACUUCCAAUUUCAAAAUCUCAAUGUGCAGAUUUAGUUCGUACAGAUGCUAACAGUUAGCAUCUGCAGCUAACCGUUAGCUGUAGGUUCGUUAUCAGAUUAGCUUUUAACUUGUUGGCGUAGCGUUGAGAUUAAAAGAACUGUCCUCAUGAAGGGAUUUAUGUUAAUGUGUUUGUUUCAGUUUCAUUUGGAUUUAUAGAUUCAACUUGUAUAGAAAUAAAGUCAUUUAAUUGUAAUAUAUUUUCGUCCUUUGUGUUUUGUUCUGUUUUUUUAUGACAACAACGAUACAUUUUAUUCUCAAGGCAACUUGCUGUUAACAAAAUAAAGGUUUGGAUCAAGUCAUUCAAUAAAUGUAAAUAAACCAAGACUUAUGGUAUUAUGAAAAAUAGACUUGACCUCCUUAAAGUGCGUGUACCCCAGUGCAUGCUGGGAUACAUUCCAACUGCAGUAGGUAGUACAGGAGGAAUAGUGAAAAGCUUUACACCUGG